rnacentral:rRNA from 1 species
GACGAACGCUGGCGGCGUGCUUAACACAUGCAAGUCGAACGCUGAAGCUUGGUGCUUGCACUGGGUGGAUGAGUGGCGAACGGGUGAGUAAUACGUGAGUAACCUGCCCUUGACUCUGGGAUAAGCCUGGGAAACUGGGUCUAAUACUGGAUACGACAUGCCACUGCAUGGUGGUGUGUGGAAAGGGUUUUACUGGUUUUGGAUGGGCUCACGGCCUAUCAGCUUGUUGGUGGGGUAAUGGCCUACCAAGGCGACGACGGGUAGCCGGCCUGAGAGGGUGAGCGGCCACACUGGGACUGAGACACGGCCCAGACUCCUACGGGAGGCAGCAGUGGGGAAUAUUGCACAAUGGGCGGAAGCCUGAUGCAGCGACGCCGCGUGAGGGAUGACGGCCUUCGGGUUGUAAACCUCUUUCAGCACGGAAGAAGCGAGAGUGACGGUACGUGCAGAAGAAGCGCCGGCUAACUACGUG